UAUAACCAAUACUUCAUCAGACUUCCAGCUCUUCCCCUAUUUCCCAUUCGUUUCUUGCUGAGCAAUGUAUCUCAUCUUUAUCUAAUGUAUCUCAUGGAUUCACUCUAUCAGUUUCUUAAACCCCUUUUUUAGCAUCUUUUCCUCGUCUAGACCCCACGGCUCAUUGUUGGAGUCACCGUUUAGCAACAGCAUCCACAAGUCUCUUCUAUCCCUGAACUUCCCCAUGCAGAUAACUACUGAUGGCUGGUAUCUGUUUGCUGAGGGUCUAAUAAAUGCUUCCUGGAUCUGUUCUUUGGAGCUGACCAAUUCAAUACAACGAAUUCUGUGAAAUGUGAUACCAAGAAGUCGAAUUUGCUAAGGGAAGUGCUGUCACCUCGCUUGGCUGGAGAGUCAAGCUACAGUUCUACAGUUGUCAGAGGUGAAGGAUGCUGGACAACUAACACAUCAUUUGAAGGGCAACUGAGGUGGUGGUUCUUGAAGCAAUGGUCAAACAAACAGGGAGAUGGAAGACAUUACAGAAAACCACAACUAAUCAAAAUGCAGAGGCAUGGAACCCAGUUCCAACAGACGCAUCUAUAAAACAUAUCCACACUGACGGCUCAGGGAGCAUUGCAGAGGAGGGGCAGAAAGUUGAUAUAAGCUGCUGCCCUGCUAGGGCCCAACUACUUGCUGAGUGCCCAGAUAUAACCACAUAAGUGGUGGAAUCCUGUGGCCAGGACAUCUGCCGGAGUGAUAAAAAAUUUGUUGUUAAGAGAAAAAGAACUCAGCAAUCCUGUACACUGUGGAAACAGCCUCAAGACCUAAGGAGAAAUAAUGACAUUUAUCAUCUAAACAAAAAUUGUGGAUCUGUGUUAUCAGUGAAUACACAGCAAGAAAUAUUAAAACAAGUUCUUCUGAGGGAAAGGAAGAGAUACAGGUGGGGAACUCUGACCCCCCCAAAAGAAAGAGUAUCAAGGGGAAACAAGUGGGAAUAAAACCAAGUUUUUAUUACUUUCAUUCUUAAUGGCCUAUAACUUACAAUAGUUUGUUAAAAUGAUAAUAGCAACCAUGUAAUUGAUUAUAUAUGAUUGCAUGAUUAUACUUAUAGCACUUACCUAAGCAGAUAGGUAAGUGAAAGAGAAUGGUAUCAAUGAUAUAAUGGAUGGGAACUAGGAAUACAUCAUUAUAAAGUAUUUGUGCUAUGGCAGCUAUGUAAUAUUAUUUGAAAGUGGCGUGGUUAGUUAUAAGUCCAUAUUACAACCUUUACAAAGUGCAAAAAGAAGACUAACUGUUCUACUAAGAUAGAAAAUGGUGUAAAAUUAAAUGCUCAAUUUAAACCUCAACAAGCAGAAAAGGAAUAGACAACAAAGUGAGAGCAAAGAACUAGGUCCAUGAAUGAAAUAUGUCAGUAGGCAGGAAAGUCUUAAUCUAGAUGGAUUGACAAUCCCUUACCCUUCUGUAGUUUGAAAAAUGUCAAUUAAAAGAUACGUGCCAGAGUGGAGAAACAGCCACACUGUCUGCUGUCUGUAGAGACUCCAUCUGAUAUACAAAGACACAUAUAAGGUAAAAAUAAAAAGAUGGAGAAAGAUUUCAAAAUAAAUCACAUUAGCAACAGAUCUUCCACAAGAGUAGAUGUCAAAACAAGGAACCUUAUUACACACUGGAAGGAUCAGAAUUCCGAGAGGACUUGGUGGCUGCACCCACAUUAGCACUUGUUCUUUCUCUUUUGGGUUAGUUGUGUGGCUUUGGAUAAGGCUGGUGAACUUUUGAGGCUCAGUUUAUUAAUUUGUACAGUGGUCAAGCCUUACCCACAGUAUCGGGUACUGGUUGUAGGGGAAAGUUUGUAUUUACACGUAGCAGAUGUUUAAAGGGUCGGGUUCAUUUUUGGAGUUCUCACAUACUUUUUAGUUUUUCUCUAAGUCAAAGAAUAAAAGUUUCUGGCAGAGCGAGGCCAAGUAAAUGAUGCAGUUUAGCAAUGCCUUCCACUGUGAGAAUCUUUCCAUGUUGUGAGGUAAGUGUAUCAGGGAAAACUCAAGGACCAUAGGAAUACUUUCAACUACCAGAAAUCUCUCAAUCUAGCUAGAGCAGUUAACUAAAUCGAUAUUAACAAGGAAAUCAAGUGAUUCCCAAGGCAAUGGUAGAGUAAGUAUUUUUUUAAUCCCAGCUAGUCAUUCUAAUUACUUUAGGUAUUCCAGCCAUCUUUCAACCAUGUACAUUAUUAAAAGAUAAAUAAAUAUAUUUGGUCUUGGAGAAUCCAAAAGUAACGAGUGAAGGAUUUAUCUGAUCAACUUGU